rnacentral:rRNA from 1 species
GACGAACGCUGGCGGCGUGCCUAAUACAUGCAAGUAGAACGCUGAAGACUUUAGCUUGCUAAAGUUGGAAGAGUUGCGAACGGGUGAGUAACGCGUAGGUAACCUGCCUACUAGCGGGGGAUAACUAUUGGAAACGAUAGCUAAUACCGCAUAACAGCAUUUAACCCAUGUUAGAUGCUUGAAAGGAGCAAUUGCUUCACUAGCAGAUGGACCUGCGUUGUAUUAGCUAGUUGGUGAGGUAACGGCUCACCAAGGCGACGAUACAUAGCCGACCUGGGAGGGUGAGCGGCCACACGGGGACUGAGACACGGCCCAGACUCCUACGGGAGGCAGCAGUAGGGAAUCUUCGGCAAUGGGGGCAACCCUGACCGAGCAACGCCGCGUGAGUGAAGAAGGUUUUCGGGUCGUAAAGCUCUGUUGUAAGAGAAGAACGUGUGUGAGAGUGGAAAGUUCACACAGUGACGGUAACUUACCAGAAAGGGACGGCUAACUACGUGCCAGCCGCCGCCGUAA